rnacentral:rRNA from 1 species
CGGGGAACCCGCACAAGCGGUGGAUGAUGUGGAUUAAUUCGAUGCAACGCGAAAAACCUUACCUACCCUUGACAUGCCAGGAACCUGCCAGAGAUGGUUGGGUGCUCGAAAGAGAGCCUGGACACAGGUGCUGCAUGGCUGUCGUCAGCUCGUGUCGUGAGAUGUUGGGUUAAGUCCCGCAACGAGCGCAAACCCUUGUCAUUAGUUGCCAUCAUUUGGUUGGGCACUCUAAUGAGACUGCCGGUGACAAACCGGAGGAAGGUGGGGAUGACGUCAAGUCCUCAUGGCCCUUAUGGGUAGGGCUUCACACGUCAUACAAUGGUCGGUACAGAGGGUUGCCAACCCGCGAGGGGGAGCUAAUCCCACAAAGCCGAUCGUAGUCCGGAUCGCAGUCUGCAACUCGACUGCGUGAAGUCGGAAUCGCUAGUAAUCGUGGAUCAGCAUGUCACGGUGAAUACGUUCCCGGGUCUU